AGUAGUGUAGCAUAGUGGUUAAGGUGCGAGACUUAUAACCAAAAGGUUGCCGGUUCGAUUCCCCACUGGGG